GCUUUCCAACGGCUUUCGCAGUGUAUAGAGCAUCGCGAACGGCCGUUCCGUCGUCAGUCAGCUGCCGGCAGUCAGCGCGAGCACAGCACGCGUCAUCAUCGUAGCGUCGCCGGACCCGCCACACCACCCUGUCUCGUGCCCGUCGGUCGGUUAUCGAAAAGUACGUUUGAUUGGAGUCCGUGUCCCGACGGCUGUGACACGUCACUUACAACUCGGUUCGUCACGCACGCAACGCGCCCGUUAACGGCCAAAUGAGUUACGGGUUACGGGCGAGGCAGGACUGUUCCAAAUCGUGCCAGCCCGUGUGAUGUUUGCCGGUCUCCUAGGUGGUCGUCGCGGUGUGAUGAAGCACGUUCACCUGGCAAUGCAUUGCUUGAAACGUGCCGUGCUGCCCAACCGCGUCUAGUGCCACCGCCAGUGUUCCCGCCCGCAUUGCGAUCCGUUUGGCAAAAGUCCUGGAGUUUCUUUCUUACACUUUUAAUUCAACGGUGGGAAGUUUCCUCGCAAUAGGCGAGGCAUCCGGGGAACGUAAGGCCGGGCAGCGAGUGAAGUUUCUCAUUACGAAUCUCGAGUGUGCAAUAGUGUGAAGCGAGAAAAAAAAUCCCAAAAGUACACACCCGAGUACGCCCGCGAUACAGUGACAGGAUGGUGGAUUCGCCGAACCGAAAGUGAGAUGUAUAGAUGAAGAGUUGCAAAGUUUGUGCCGCAAAGUCAGCUAUCCCGCGGACGGACGGAACUGAGCGUUGCGUGUGCAAAUAAGCCCGAAGACAACGAACAAAAGUGUGCAGUGAAGUUAGCAUAAGCAAGAGAGCAACGUGCGAGAAAAAAAAAACCGACGCCAAAUAGCGAAUCCGGAUCGCUGAUCAAUUGCAGCGGAAGUGCGCCCAACAGUGUUAGUGCCCCCGACAAACCUCGCGACUGUGCGCGGACUUUGUUUUGCAAACGAUAGCUACGAUAGCUAUUUGAAGCAAAGAGAUCAUCGGGUCUGCAAAAAAUCGAGAAUCGAAAAAAGUGGUUCACAAAAAUACAACCGUGUGUGUCUGGUCUCAAGCUCAAUUCUGCGAUACGGAUACCGUACCGUACCGAAUGGAUAACGUAGAUCCCGGUCCAUAGGAGCAUGUGUGGUUCGCGCUGAAUUCCUAGAUGCUGUUAAUUAAAGGUGGUGGUGCAGUCUAGACGUACGGAACAAGUUGAGCACUCUCGGCCGGUGAUCCGCAAACAAAAAAAAACUCCGAAGCAACAAGGACCUGCCAUAUCGCGAAAGCGCACCGAGUUUACGAGCUUCAAAAUUGCGGAAAUCAUUCACACGAAAGUUGUUGGUCGCGGUCCCGGUCACCUUUCCUAGCCAGCGGGAGCCAAAACCGAAGCGGAAAACCCAGUCUUGACCCCAGCCACGGGAGGUGUGUUCCAAAAAUUGCCGAGAUAUGGUCCGCCAUGGUGUCAACAAUCGGUGGUCCUUCUACUGUCGCUGCUGCUGCUGCUGUGGCAGGUGCUGCGGGUGCGGCAACCACUAUCACCACCACUGAUGCGACACAACUGUUCAUCAACACAACGCUUGACUCAUGUGCCCUUAAAUAUGAAGAGUUCGUUAUACCGACUACAGUUCCUUACUGCAACUGGACCUGGGAUAGCAUACUAUGCUGGCCCCCAACGCCAGCCAAUUUGACAAUAAGACAGCGAUGCCCUCCAGCACACGGAAUCGAUACCUCAAAGUUUGCCGAACGACGAUGCAGUGCCGAGGGACAGUGGGAAGGUAAACCGGGCUCCCCGUCGAACCUCCACGGAUGGACCAACUAUACGCCCUGCUACAGCCCGGAAGUUAUACAACUGUUUAGAAAGCUUUACGCCGGCGGGAGCGACGAUGAAGCGAAUGACAAGAUUGACAUUGCCGAGCGGACGCGUACGCUGGAGACGGUGGGAUUCAGUCUUUCACUAGUAGCGUUAAUUAUUUCGUUAAUAAUAUUUUGUAAAUUUCGCGGUCUUCGCAACAACCGGACAAGAAUUCACAAAAAUCUGUUCGUGGCCAUGGUGAUACAGGUGGUGAUCCGCCUUACCUUAUACAUCGACCAAGCGAUCAUACGCAGCGGUGGCAAAAAGUUCGGCAACGAAAGCUCUCGCCAAGGAAUCGAUAACACUCCUUUCCUCUGCGAGGCGUCGUACGUGCUGCUUGAGUACGCCAGGACUUGCAUGUUUAUGUGGAUGUUUAUAGAGGGAUUAUAUUUACACAACGUAGUGACGGUUACAGUAUUCCAGGGACGGUUUCCACAUACGCUUUACGCCAUCGUGGGCUGGGGUGGCCCGGUCGUACUGACCGUCAUCUGGGCCAUCACAACCGCGCAGUACAUCCGGCAGCAGAAAUGCUGGUGGGGUUACAACUUGACGCCUUAUUACUGGAUUUUGGAAGGUCCAAGACUAGCAGUAGUCGUGUUGAAUUUCAUAUUUUUACUUAAUAUUAUAAGAGUACUGAUCGUGAAGCUGCGCCAAAGCCACACCAGCGAUGUGGAGCAGGUGCGGAAAGCGGUCCGGGCGGCGGUCGUCCUUGUGCCAUUGCUAGGAAUUACCAACAUACUCAACAUGACCCAGGCACCGCUCGACAAGACGGCGCUCGAGUUCGCUAUCUGGUCGUACGUGACGCAUUUUCUCACCUCCUUCCAAGGAUUCUUUAUCGCACUGCUCUAUUGCUUCCUGAACGGCGAGGUACGGACGGCACUUAUGAAAAGUAUCAGCGUAUACCUGUCGCUGCGCGGCCACCACGACUGGGCGGUUCGGAGGCAAUCGCUCUUCUCCGCCGGCUAUCCUACCGUGCCGGUCAACGAAGCACCACCGAACGCCGCCGGGGACACAAAUCGCAACACCAACAGAAAUGCCGCCAGCAACAAUCUGCUGGCAAGUGCCAACAAUCAUACCGCCAACGGGGGCAUGGCCGGCAGCAACGCGAACGGUUUCCGAUGUGGCUGGUUUAGCCGCUGCUUUUUAGUACAAAAACACACCAACAACCCGUCCGCUCCGGAGCCGGCCCCACCUGAGUCAGUUGUGUUCGAUAUUUCCGACUAGUUUAGCCCCGUCCACGUGUUAUUUUGAUUUUUUUCUUUCGUUUACUUUGGUUGAGUUUGGAUUUAACCAGCGUGUGAUGGCGGCUGUCGGAGCACGUGCGUAAUACACCGAUCCAUGAGACUAUAAGUAACUAGUAAAGCUUUACCCCGAUGACCGUGCGUCACCGGAAACCGGAACUGCUAUCAGGGUAGCCACGCACCAAUUGCGACACGACUGUCACUAGCAACUAGUGGCAAGCGGAAACAACAAUUUAACAAAAAACCAAGAGAAUGCAUAAUUUUAUAUAAACCGACGAGAAUUGCUCUGCGCGAGGGAACACUUUACUAAAGCCACAGCUACUCUGGGAACUGGGAACAGCAGGAGCAAGAGCGUAUCAAAUAAGCGUACGAAUCGAAUUUACCCGAGUCGGUCUGAGUGUGGCAUAAAAUGUUAAACUAUGUAGAGAGGGGGGAACCUGUGGGGGACUUGGGGAGGGAAAGAGAGAGAAAGUAUAAGUGUUGGAUAAUUAAAAUGGUUUAAAAUGUUGCUGCUCGCGUCGUUUGAUAUACAUAACGAUACAUAUAUAUAUAAAUCUAUAUUUUAUCAGGAUAACAAAGCGGAGGAAGGGAGAAAAAUUAGGGGAAGCGCCCUGAAAAGCUACUGUAAUGUCGAUUGUUUUUUGUCGAUUUCGUAACUGUUGUAACGUUGUAACGCGUGCCAGUGCAAGCAUGCUGCAGCGAUGGAUCCCUGCGAACCAGCAGCCAGCACAGCACAACACAGCUAAACAUCAACGUCAACAUGGACGAUGGGGCACCCGGUACCAACACACUCUUUAGAUUGAAUUUAUGUGUAACAGCAAAUUGCAAAUCUAAAACGCAUGAAUGAAUAAAUGCAAUGUUGUCGUCUGUUUUUGUACCUGUGA